rnacentral:rRNA from 1 species
GAUGAACGCUGGCGGCGUGCCUAAUACAUGCAAGUCGAGCGAACAGAUAAGGAGCUUGCUCCUUUGACGUUAGCGGCGGACGGGUGAGUAACACGUGGGUAACCUACCUAUAAGACUGGGAUAACUUCGGGAAACCGGAGCUAAUACCGGAUAACAUUUGGAACCGCAUGGUUCUAAAGUGAAAGAUGGUUUUGCUAUCACUUAUAGAUGGACCCGCGCCGUAUUAGCUAGUUGGUAAGGUAACGGCUUACCAAGGCAACGAUACGUAGCCGACCUGAGAGAGUGAUCGGCCACACUGGAACUGAGACGCGGUCCAGACUCCUACGGGAGGCAGCAGUAGGGAAUCUUCCGCAAUGGGCGAAAGCCUGACGGAGCAACGCCGCGUGAGUGAUGAAGGGGUUCGGCUCGUAAAACUCUGUUAUUAGGGAAGAACAAACGUGUAAGUAACUGUGCACGUCUUGACGGUACCUAAUCAGAAAGCCACGGCUAACUACGUG